AUUGAACGCUGGCGGCAUGCCUUACACAUGCAAGUCGAACGGCAGCAUGGAGAGCUUGCUCUCUGAUGGCGAGUGGCGAACGGGUGAGUAAUGCAUCGGAACGUACCGUGUAAUGGGGGAUAACGUAGCGAAAGUUACGCUAAUACCGCAUACGACCUGAGGGUGAAAGCAGGGGAUCGCAAGACCUUGCGUUAUACGAGCGGCCGAUGUCAGAUUAGCUAGUUGGUGAGGUAAAGGCUCACCAAGGCGACGAUCUGUAGCGGGUCUGAGAGGAUGAUCCGCCACACUGGGACUGAGACACGGCCCAGACUCCUACGGGAGGCAGCAGUGGGGAAUUUUGGACAAUGGGGGCAACCCUGAUCCAGCCAUGCCGCGUGAGUGAAGAAGGCCUUCGGGUUGUAAAGCUCUUUCGGCCGGGAAGAAAUCGCACAGGCUAAUACUCUGUGUGGAUGACGGUACCGGCAUAAGAAGCACCGGCUAACUACGUGCCAGCCGCCGCCGUAA
rnacentral:rRNA from 1 species